CGUUGACAGACAGCUCUGUAAUAUAAAUAAUGUUUCAAUUUAACUACGCACCCUUCAGAAUCAGGCGGGAUAUUCAACCUGCCUGCUAGAAGAUGCUAACUGCUAACUGCUAACAGCUCAUCACUUCAACAAAAGAUGCUGAACCAGUCGCAGGAAUGUCUGCACCUGAGUUGAAAAGCUCUCCGCGAGGCCGUACAGUAGAACAACCAACGGUCACCUGCUGGAAUGAGACGGCCCGCUCGUCACUGCAAAAACUAAAGAUUAACGCCUCCCUUCAGCAUCACAUGGUGUCACACAGACAGCUUCCUGUCGCUGCCUGCAGACGACGACGGGGACGGCAGACAGACGAUUCUGCUCCCGGCUGUUAAAACACAUCGAUUGUGCCAACGUGGUCGAUUAAAGAUCGCAGCCAAUGAGGAGUCCAGCAGGCCCACAUGCAGCUUCAUCGAGAGGCUUCGCUGAGUGGAACGGGAGGUGUCACACUCACCUGUGCAGGAAGGCCCUGUAGGUAUCAGACACCACUCUCCUCUGGGCCUGACGGAUGAAGUCUCGCUGCUCUUUGUCUGGGAUGGCCCAGCCCUUCUGGAUCUUACACAACUCCUCCAAGCCGUCAUUAA